rnacentral:tRNA from 1 species
GCCCUUGUAGCUCAGCUGGUAGAGCAGCGGUUUUGUAAGCCGAAGGUCGCGGGUUCGAUCCCUGCCGGGGGCACCA